CCCUUAGAUGUCCUGGGCCGCACGCGCGCUACACUGAUGCAUUCAACGAGUUUCACUUUGGCCGAGAGGCCUGGGCAAUCUUUUAAACCUGCAUCGUGAUAGGGAUAGAUUAUUGCAAUUAUUAAUCUUGAACGAGGAAUUCCUAGUAAACGCAAAUCAUCAAUUUGCAUUGAUUACGUCCCUGCCCUUUGUACACACCGCCCGUCGCACCUACCGAUUGAAUGGUCCGGUGAAGCCUCGGGAUUGUGGCCAGUUCACUUUAUUGGGAGUUGGCUGUGAGAACUUGUCUAAACCUUAUCAUUUAGAGGAAGGUGAAGUCGUAACA
rnacentral:rRNA from 1 species